UUCUCCCAACAGGAAUGAGGUGAUGUGAAUGUUAUGGGGUUAGCAGAGUUGAUGCUUUGAGGUCUGUUCAGCUCUGCUAUAUAAUGAUGGCCAGAUCUCUACUACGAUCUGAGGAUACGUAAAAACGUUGGUUGAUGUCACAGAGAAGAAAGAUCUGAAUACAUCCCGUGUGUAACGGUAUCGUAAACAUGAUCCCAAAUGAAUUUGUCGUCUGUGGUUCAUUUUGGGUUUUAGCUGCCAUCCUGUGGGUAAUGGGCUCCACAUGGCAGGUGUUCAUGAAAAAUGGAAUGCAUCUUUCACAAACAGUUGCAAAAGAAAAUAUAUUUGGCAUUUUGGUUGAUAUAGAAGGUGUUUGUGACGGGAUGCAUAAAGAAAAACUACUAACCGAUCAAAAUCAGAUGGGAGGAGGCCAAGCCAUCUUAUCGCUGGAACUGUGAGACGAUGGGCUUCAAAUGACAUAGACUGAAACAUGAAAUAACAACUGUUUGCUUAGUACUAGUUAUAUUUGCCUUUCCUAAACAGAAAAGUAAUACAGAAUAAAGAUUUCAAGCAAUAUUA